ACAUCUCCAAUGGUGAUCU
rnacentral:snRNA from 1 species